rnacentral:ncRNA from 1 species
UAUCGUUCCUACUGCGUAUAAUCACGAGUUGGUUAAUGGCAGUGAGCGAGGGUUAGAGCCUCUGCAACAGCAGUUCUUUCCAAUUCUUAAAGAACUGGAAUAAACUGGAAAGCAGGAAAAUCAAAGGGUGCAGCCUAAUAUGGGCAAGUAGCGAUGUCGAAAGUGCUAUGGCUGC